rnacentral:misc_RNA from 1 species
GAAGAAGAAAAAGAAGGGAAAGAAGGAAAGAAAUUUCAGGAGAAGAAGGAAGAAGAAAUGGAGAAAGGAAGAAAAUAGAAAGGAAGAAGAUCAAGGAAGGGAAGUGGAAAAGAGUGAAAGAGAUAAAGAAUAAGAGAGAAGUAAAAUCUAGCCUAAUUUCAUUUUAUUUCUUUGCCGCUUCUCAGACUCAUCCUCAUCCUCUUUGAAAAGUAAAAUAUCAGAGGAACCUAACUCCAAAUCAUAACCAUGAAAUCGAAAAGCAACCUCUUCAGCAACCUCAAUUACCUUUUGAGUCAUCUAGCUUAUGCCAUGUGGCUGGAAAGGCCCACAUGUAGCAAAAAUAACGCCCAGACAGACAUGUAGCAAAGGUAAUGCC